rnacentral:lncRNA from 1 species
UUAACUAUUUAGAAGAUCAAUAAAAUAAGAGGUUUUGUCGUUAUAGAACACGGAAUUCACUGGAAGCAAUGAUAAAUAAAUACAAAUAGAAAAGGAAAGGGAGGAAAUACAAAAAAAUAGAAGAGAAAAGUCAUACAAAGUUAUAUACAAAUCACUACCCCCUUUUUUGUAUUUCCUUAAUUUAUUUCCUUAAUUGAAUUUCGGUUGAUUAAGACGAAGUUCCUUAAAAACCUCUGCCUUCUUUAAAAUAUCCUGAACAGUUUCUGUAGGUUGAGCCCCUUUUUCAAGGAAAUAUAAAAUAGCAGGAACAUUUAAAUAAGUUUGAUUCUUUAUCGGAUCAUAAAAACCCACUUUCUGAAGAUCUUUUCCUUCUCUUCGGGAUCGAACAUCAAUUGCAACGAUUCGAUAGACGGCUCAUUGGGAUAGAUGUAGAUGAACAACACCCCCCCUAGAAACGUAUAGGAAGCUUUCUCCUCGUACGGCUCGAGAAAAAUGAUUGAUUCGAAGUUUUGUCUUUGUAUGGAAUUCUAUCUAAGAAAUGACAACUGGAUCCAUAAAAUGAUCAAAGCAAUUAAAGAUCUAAGUCUUUUUUUCUUCGUUCUUCCUUAAAAUGAAAAAUAAACCAUUCGUACUCUCAUAACUCAAGUUGGAUAACUUUCAAACAGUUCAAAGGAAAAUCUUUCGGCAAUUUCAUUUAUUGAGCGGUCUUUCCUCCUUUUUUGUUUGUCUCGUUUAAAAUCGGAUUCUUCAGUCUGAUCCAGUUAUUAAGACAAUUAAAAAGGUGUUUCCUUGUUCUGGGAUCCUUUAUCUUUGUUUUAUUUUAAAUCAUUGGGUUUAGACAUUACUUCGGUGCUUUUUAAUCCUUUCAAAAUGGCAGCAACAUACCCUUUUUGCGAUUUUUAUGAAAGAAUCCUACAAGAUGAUGGAUUCCCUCGUGAAACACUUUGGAUCGAAAAAGUUUGAUCAAUUCCAAUAAAUUUUUUAAUUUGAAACUUGCUCGAAUUGGAUUCUUUCGAUUUCCAUACCUAAGAUAUAUUAGAUAUAUUUACGAAGUUGUUUCAAUUGUUUUAUUGAUUGGCAUUAACCCUAGACCCUUGCCCCGAGAAAGAAAUUAAUACUUUCUACUCGAGCUCCAUCAUGGACUAUUUACAUUCCAAGACAACAAAAAACGAGGGGUUCUAGUGAAACAGAACCAAUGAUGUCGAGUUAAGAGCACCUUCAUUCCUACAAAAAAUGGUGGAUGUACAAAUCCACAACGGAUCGUGUCCUUCAAGUCGCACGUUGCUUUCUACCACAUCGUUUCAAACGAAGUUUUACCAUAACAUUCCUCUAAGAACCGGUAUGGAAUUGAUUCAAUUAUGGAAUCAUGAAUAGUCAUUGGUUGGGCUGAUGUAUAAACACCAUAAUCUAAAGUAUUUUCUAUAUCUUCUAUAUCUAUAGUAUAUAGAUAUAAAUAAUACUAUAGAUUAAUACUAUAGAUAUAGGGUGGAUAAAUAUUUUUCUGAAGAAGUCUUAGUAAGACCCCAUCGCUAAUAUUAAAUUGUCUAACAUUAUAAUAUUAAUUAAUAAAUAUAUAUAAUAAAAAAUUUUUUUAUAUAAAUAAAAUAAGACGAAUAAACGAAUUCUUUUUAAUUCUGCAUCUUCACGUGACUUAAUAGGAGAGAAAGAUUCAGCUUCUAAGGAAUGAUUUAAACUAUUUCUCUUUCGAAAUUUCGAAUCAAUUUCGAAAGUUCCCCUCUCGACAUCAUUAUUCCAAGAAAAUUUGAUAGUUAAAAAUAACUUUUGAUCAUCUUAGGAAAAAAGAUAAGUCUUUUUUUUUUUUUUUUCAUCUGAUUAAUAAAAUCCAAAGAAUGGGGAGGGUUUCGUAUCUAUCAAUUCGAUCAAAUAGACUGAGCAAUUGUCACCGUUUAUAGAUAUUGAAAUGAACGCCUUCCCAUCACUGAUUAACUCCUAUCUACCCCAUUCUCUGGGACUGAUGCAGCAUAAAUCAAAAGAAGGGGAUGUCCUAGUCUUUUUUUUACGAAAUGCGAGCUGGCUGGGCACAAAGCCAAACAAGCCCAGAUUAAGUCCAGUUUUUGCUCCUUUUUUCUAUUUUAGCCUACCUCAUUGAUUAAGAAUUAAGAGACUUAGUGAAUUGAAUUAGUACCAAAAACCCCUUCUUGGCGAAAAGUCAAGAAAUCCACAAAAAAGCAAAUUGAAUCUAAUUAGGCUAAUUUAGGGGGUAGAGAAUAUGAGAUAGGGAAUAUGGAUUCUUUCGUAUCUCGAUUCAGUUUUUGAAAAAAAAAAAAACGAUUCAUCGAAGAAAAAAAUCAGAAACAACAAUCACAUUCCAGCUAACAUUUCGAUUUUAAACAGAACAUUGUUAAAAAAGCAAUCUAUAUUGUCAGAGAAUAUAUAUGUUCUGGGACGGAAGGAUUCGAACCUCCGAAUAGCGGGACCAAAACCCGUUGCCUUACCACUUGGCCACGCCCCAUUUAGAUUUCUAUGCGAUACUAAUAAA